rnacentral:rRNA from 1 species
UAAACCCUCACCAGAGUAACAAUUGGAGGGCAAGUCUGGUGCCAGCAGCCGCGGUAAUUCCAGCUCCAAUAGCGUAUAUUAAACUUGUUGCAGUUAAAAAGCUCGUAGUUGAAUUUCUGCGUUAUCGAGUUAUUGACUCUUGUCUUUAAUCGAUUUCGCUUUUGGGAUUUAUCCCUUUUUACUUUGAGAAAAUUAGAGUGUUUCAAGCAGACUUUUGUCUUGAAUACUUCAGCAUGGAAUAAUAGAGUAGGACUUUGGUUCUAUUUUGUUGGUUUUUGAACCUUAGUAAUGGUUAAUAGGAACGGUUGGGGGCAUUCGUAUUUAACUGUCAGAGGUGAAAUUCUUAGAUUUGUUAAAGACGAACUACUGCGAAAGCAUUUGCCAAGGACGUUUCCAUUAAUCAAGAACGAAAGUUAGGGGAUCGAAGACGAUCAGAU